AACCAACCCUGAUAACAUCUUGAUCUUGGACCUCCAGCCUCCAGAACUUGUUGAAACGAUUUCUCUUGCGGCCACGAAACUACAUUUUCCCGAUAUUAGUCACUCACUUUCAGCGGAACUCGUUGGGGGAGCAAGAUUUCUUUGGCUUGGCCUUGCAGGGCAAGGUACUGACGCUGAUAAUGUCACCAAGUUAUUAAGCUUCCAUUCCUCUUCAGUGGCAAGCGACAAAGCGCCAGGAAUGAAUUUCAUGUCAGGAACAAGCAGAGAGACAAAUCCUCUUACUGACCUGACGAAGGCGGUCCAGGCCCAGCGCUCUGUGGCUUCUCUCCCAGAUUUUUAGCCGCUGAUGUUUGUACUUGUGGGCUUUGAAUUGUGGGCAGAACAUGCUCUGUGAGCAUCAAAAUAUGGAGCCUAAAUCUACAGGAACGGGAUUUCGGAAGUGUCCUGAGACGGCUGCUCUUGGCCCACGUGCUUUGAUUCCAUCUCCAGCCUGAGAGGCCUGGUGGAUGGUGAGAUUCCUGUGAAUCGCAUCACCCCAGGUGGCACCAAAUCCCUUGCUCGCUUAUCCUGGUGCAGCCCGCCCUGGGCUGUGGCUGUCCUCAGUCAGCAAACCAGCGAAAUCAGAGGCCCUCCCACUGUACGGGACAUGAUUACCUGCCGCAAGACACUCCCCUCCUUUAUUGCCAGCAAUCUUUCCCUGAGUCCCACCCCGGGACUCUCAGCGGUUGGAGCUGAAUCAGCUUUAAUCGGCGUCUUCUCUUUAGCUACCCAGAAUCACCUGGGGAGGCUCUGCGGGCACACUCACACCUUAAUCUGUUUGCUUUUUGCAAAUGUCCACCAAGACCUCACACUUGGGAUGGAGCUUUGGAAGGAGAAGAUGAGGACUGAAGAAAUAUGGAUUAAGAAAAGAAGUUAUUUUAGAGCUGGGCAUGUAAAUGGAGGGCACCAUGGGGGAGAGGUCUGUUAGGACAUUUAUGUACAGCCCAGAAAGCCAGCCGGCUAGGUAAAGUCAGACUUGUAGGAGGUCAGACCAUCAUCUCCAGUAACCAGUCCAGGAAGCUAAACAAUAACCCUUCUAGCAACUGUCCCAGAAUGGCCAGGACUUGCUUAAUAACUGCCAGCUUCCCUAAUUUUCAUCCUCGCUUCCAACUUGGGGCCAAUCAGAGAAAGCCAAACAUGCUCCCCAACCAAUCACAUAGAGGCCCUCUUCCUAGUUGUCCCGCCCCCCCAGCUUCCGCAGGCCAAUAGCCUCCAAUCAGGGCCCAGGUGGAGCCUUCCCUUUUCUCUUCUAUGAAGCUCUCCCCUUGCCCUGCCUGCCCUCGAGUCUCUGCCAAACACAAAUGAUGGUGGCUGACUCCCUGCUACAGCAGGCGCUGAAUCAAUAGUGUCUGCUUCUCUCAUUUGGCUCUUUGUUUAUUUCCACAAAGGUAAGACCACCUUCUCCUGUCAGAAGAGAGAAGGCUCCUUCCAGGGCGGGGGGUGAGUGGAGUGAGUGAUGGGUCAGUGUCCUCUCCUCCUGCCAGGGUAAGUCUGUGUGCUGCAUCCAGGGGGCCAGAGCUGCUUUUUAGGACUGGGAGCAACGUUCAUGGUCACCACAGGCAGAGGCUUAUGAAAGAGGUCUUGCCACGUGCCAGCUCUUCCUUCCAGAAUCCUCACACCGUCCUCCCAGACGGUCCUGCCAUCGCAUCCCAGCCUGCCCUCCCCAGGGCGGAGAUGAUCAGACAGGGGUCUGAGCUGGUGUUCUGGAAGCGCCUUCCCCACGUGGGUGUUCCAGUUACUAAGCCAUCAGGUCUGUGGGCAUCAUUUUGGAGUGUCAUGGGAAGUGACUCUCUGGCCCGUCUCCUUUAGAAAGCAAACAAAAGCCCCACUGGCGGUCACCCUGGCAGAGCGGUAGGCACUGUGGCAAGUGGCAAUACAGCUGCAGGCAGGAAGGAGAAUGCUCUGACAGACCCUGACAGAAUGGGCAGCACUGUGCUGCUUGGCAACCGCUUGGGGUACCCUGACGGCUGGUGAUAGCAACGAUCAGAUACAGAGGAUGGGCAGCCUGACCUCUGCCUUCAGACAAAGAAUGAAUCAGGUUCCCGGUAGACAUAGUGAGUUAGACCUCAUGGAAUAGAGUUUCAUGUACUUUCUCCAGCUCUUCCUUCAUGAGGUGGCCUAGCUUUCCAUGAAAAUAUUCAGAGGUGUCCCUAACCUUCAUCCUUUACACUAAAGCCUCAGGGAAACUGAUUCUCCUGUAUUUUUUGAGAGUGUUAAUUCAGCCAUGUGGGAUGUUCUGGGGGUUAUAAAGAAACAUCCAUGAGCAGGCCCCCAAAUGUCUGUUCCCAUCAGAGACUAGAUUGGACACUAAAUGUCCUUGCUAAGUCCCGUAUUGUUCUUGUGUUUGUUUGGUUUUGUUUUUGUUACUGUCCACAGAAAUCCUGUAGACCUUACAGAUUUAAGGCACUGGGAUGAAAAGAAAGGAAUCAACAAAGCAAAUGCCAACAAGCAUCUGUGUGCUGAUGCCACUGGGUUAGGGGGGUGUUUAGAUUUGAUCUUGUCCUCAAAAUGUAGCCAAAAAUGGAUGCAGAGCUGUCCCUUGGAUGGUGACAGUAGUCAUGUUCGCUUGGUCUGAGAAUGUUCUCAAAAUGAUGCUCAUGGGACUUCCCUGGUGGCUCAGUAUUUAAGCAUCUGCCUGCCAGUGCAGGGGACGUGGGUUCAAGCCCUGGGCCAGGAA